UACGGGGGGGGUAAGCGUUGUUCGGAAUUACUGGGCGUAAAGGGCUCGUAGGCGGCCAACUAAGUCAGACGUGAAAUCCCCAGGCUCAACCUGGGAACUGCGUCUGAUACUGGAUGGCUUGAAUCCGGGAGAGGGAUGCAGAAUUCCAGGUGUAGCGGUGAAACGCGUAGAUAUCUGGAGGAAUACCGGUGGCGAAGGCGGCAUCCUGGACCGGCAUUGACGCUGAGGAGCGAAAGCCAGGGGAGCAAACGGG
rnacentral:rRNA from 1 species